AGAAUGUUUGCUUUAUUUGAGAAGAUACGAGUAAAACAGCAUAUUUUGCAAAUAAUAUUAAUCAUUGUACUUUUUGUUGUUCUACGAAAUUCUUACGUCAAUUCUACGAAUACAAGUGACCUGGCUUAAUGCCCUUAGCAUUUGCAAAAAUAUGAACAUGAGACUAUUAACGGUGAGAAAUCAAGAAGAAUUUGAUUUCCUGAAAUCACUUAUAGGCCUAAGAUAUAAUCAAUAUUUGACGUGGUGGUUAGAUGACUACAAAUUGGAAGGAGUUUGGAAAUGGAUAUCAAGUGGUGAUGAUAUUCUUAAAUUCUUUUAUUUCCCUUACUUUAGGCUUUCAAUAUCAUUUCUUUUUUUUUGGAUUUUCUUUUAAUCUCUAAAAUAUUAACUUUACUAUUGUUCCGUAAAACCACAAAAAAAACUUAAAAAAAUACUUUCUCUUUUCCUUUUUGAUAUGUUUGUGGUAAAUUUAAUUAACUCUUCAAUAAGCUUCAAAACAUAAAUUUUUUCACAUAAA